rnacentral:rRNA from 1 species
AUUGAACGCUGGCGGAAUGCUUUACACAUGCAAGUCGAACGGCAGCACGGACUUCGGUCUGGUGGCGAGUGGCGAACGGGUGAGUAAUGUAUCGGAACGUGCCCAGUCGUGGGGGAUAACGUAGUGAAAAUUACGCUAAUACCGCAUACGAUCUAUGGAUGAAAGCGGGGGAUCGCAAGACCUCGCGCGAUUGGAGCGGCCGAUGUCAGAUUAGGUAGUUGGUGGGGUAAAGGCCCACCAAGCCAACGAUCUGUAGCUGGUCUGAGAGGACGACCAGCCAUACUGGAACUUAGACACGGUCCAGACUCCUACGGGAGGCAGCAGUGGGGAAUUUUGGACAAUGGGCGAAAGCCUGAUCCAGCAAUUCCGCGUGCAGGAUGAAGGCCCUCGGGUUGUAAACUGCUUUUGUACAGAACGAAAAGGUUUCUACUAAUACUAGGAGCUCAUGACGGUACUGUAAGAAUAAGCACCGGCUAACUACGUGCCAGCCGCCGCCGUAA